AUGGAAUAAUGGAUUUAAACUAAACUGCACUCCCAGCCGUAACAACAGCCACAAUCAUAUGUAAUGAAAAUGGGUUGUUGCGGAUGUGACAUACUGGUAACAGCCUACUGCUAUGCAAAUUUUUUAGAAAAAUUUACAAAAGUAAAGGAUAUUUAACCUUAACUAACAAAUUCUUAGUCCUUAUUAAAUGAUCUUUUUCUUGAUCUUCAAUAAUUAUUUACCAGAUCCAACGUCUUCAAAUUGAUUACAUAUGUAACAAGCUAGGCACACAUGAUAUGUAUGCUCCAGCCUGAGGGGAAAUGUUGGAAUAAUUGCUAUAAUUGUGCCUUAAGUUGAGAUUGAAUGCUGUUUGUGUGCUGCAUUGGUGGCUGUAAAUAUGCCUGUAAAUGUCCUUUUUUCAGUGUAUAACUAAGCAGUAUAUAUACACCCAAUGGCUUGAAGGAAUAAUCAUGCUAUUUUCUCCAAAUCUCCUCCUCUUCUUCUUCAUCUUUCUUCAUUUUCUUCUUCAAUUUCUCUCUCCUUUCUCUCUUCAUCACUAUCUCUCCCACCAUCCAUUCAAAUCCAAGUUGGAGGUAACUUUCCAAACCCCCAAGAUUGCACUCUCCACAUCCGAAGCAGCCCGCAAAUUCCCUUCUCUCCCUCUUGGCACCAUCCUCAUCAACUUGCCUGAAUUCCUCUUGCUAUUGACCCAAUCCAAUGCCGCCACCAAUGCUCAACUCAAUUGACUUGAGGUGAACUAGUAUGCUGAUGAUUCCUAGAAUACAAUUGAUGAGCACUCAGAAUCAAAACGUCACCCAGCAUCAAUAUUUACAAAGCCAAUGUUGCACGUUUUUGGGUUCUUUAUGUUGAUACUAGCUACUGUGAUAGGGGAGAUGGUGGUCUUGAGUAAAAGAAUCAAUUGAAGGAAUUUAAGAGUUGUGGAGAAGUACAAGGUCAACUAGGAUCAAAUGAAGGCCUUGAAUCACUUUUCUAUGCUGCAAAUUCCUUCAAUCGACCACAUCAGUGUCGGUUUGUAAGGGUUUGGCACCAAAUGUAAAUUAGAAAUAGUUAGAUCUUUUAAUAUUUUUUAAUCUAUUGCCUCUAUUUUUGUGCAUGUUGAUCAUUGUAGGAAUAUUUCUCCCUCAUGUUGGAGUUGUAAAUUGGCAAUAGGUGUCCUGGAAUUCAGGUUGUGUUUGGUGGAAUUGGAGUUGUGAAUAUUUCUCUCUGCCAUGAAUUGAUAAUGAAGAUGCUUUACAUUUUAUUUUUUAGUGGAGAGUAAGAAGGCAAGAGAAAGAGGGGGCCUACCAUGCAAUUUUUAGGUGGUGAAGAGAAAGUAAACAAGAGAAGGAAAGGAAAACAUGGGAAGAGGAGAGAAAACCCGUCCAAUUAAGAAAAACAAUUUUCAAAUGUUACUGAAAUGGAUCCAUGUUAUCUUCUUAGAAAAAUUAUAAACAUUCAGAUAGGACCGUAUUGUUACUCAAACCAAUUUUUAAUGAAUUUUGUGAUAGACUGGCGAAGCACAAAAUAAAGUUAAAUAAAUCUUAAUAUUUCCAUCAAAAUUCAAAUAACAUA
rnacentral:misc_RNA from 1 species